GAUGAACGCUGGCGGCGUGCCUAAUACAUGCAAGUCGAGCGAACAGAUGAGGAGCUUGCUCCUCUGACGUUAGCGGCGGACGGGUGAGUAACACGUGGAUAACCUACCUAUAAGACUGGGAUAACUUCGGGAAACCGGAGCUAAUACCGGAUAAUAUAUUGAACCGCAUGGUUCAAUAGUGAAAGACGGUUUUGCUGUCACUUAUAGAUGGAUCCGCGCCGCAUUAGCUAGUUGGUAAGGUAACGGCUUACCAAGGCAACGAUGCGUAGCCGACCUGAGAGGGUGAUCGGCCACACUGGAACUGAGACACGGUCCAGACUCCUACGGGAGGCAGCAGUAGGGAAUCUUACGCAAUGGGCGAAAGCCUGACGGAGCAACGCCGCGUGAGUGAUGAAGGUCUUCGGAUCGUAAAACUCUGUUAUUAGGGAAGAACAAAUGUGUAAGUAACUAUGCACGUCUUGACGGUACCUAAUCAGAAAGCCACGGCUAACUACGU
rnacentral:rRNA from 1 species